ensembl:lncRNA
UUCCUCUCUGCUGCCAGGUGGGAAGAGCAGGCACGUGUCACUGAACCUUCCGAGUUGGCCCCAAGGAGGGCCACCUGCCUGGUGUUGUUUGAGUCAACAGAACGAGACUGAGUCAGAUUCGGAAGCAAAGGAAAGCUUUAUUCCCUGAUCAGAGAACAGAGAGGUGUGAGGUCCUGGUCCAGAGCACAGGCUCUCCUGUAGGCUGUGGGCAGGGCUGCUUUAUAGGGUCCCGGUCAGCAAUGAGGGGGUAGGGCUCUUUGCACACAGCUCUGAGCCCAGGUGUAAGUGCAGCCACUACCCAUCAGGAACCCUGGUCUGAAGUGCCAGGUUCGAGGUCUCUGCCCGUGGCUGCCUGUGAGCCAGCGACACUAGACUCAGCACUGAGGAAAAGAAGAAAAGGUCAGACUUGAUUUUAUUACCCAGAUUCUGCUUUUAUUCUCCUGGAAUUGUGCAUGGGCUUUGCUGAUGAUGAAUCCCUCCACUCCCAUUUGUCUAACCUCUUGGAGACAAAGGAGAUGGUUUAAAAUACAUGCUCAGAUAUCAACAAGAGAACAGUGGUUACCUGUCACAUUCUCCUGAAAAGGCAGGACUCCAGGUCUUUGGGCUGGAUGCACCUGAGUGUCCCUGGCCCAUUUUGGUGGUAUUUCGGAAAAGAAGCUCCAGGUCAGAGCAUGGUUCACGCGAGUGGUUAAGGGGCCCGUGGCCCCAGCUUGUUUCUCUGGAGGCUGGGGCUUGGGGGCCUCUUAGCUAGAGUAUAGUGUCCCCAUGGAGUGGCCCCUGCGACUUCAGAGCGGGGAGGGUGGUGAAGGUCACCAGGUGGCGUCUGCUCCACUUAGGGGUGAGCAGGGCUUGCGGGCUGCUGGUUUUCCAGGUUUUCAGAUGCGCCUAGGCUCCUGGCUGGAAGGCUGGGGCUGGGUCAGUGAGUGCAAGCACAACUGGGUCCCAUAUUCCAUGAGAGCUUUCCUGGUUUCUCCUAACUGGAGCGCACACUUGAGUUGUUCCAUUCCAAGGGGACUGAGGUGUCUUUUCUCUCCAGCUGUGGAAAUGGGAGUUCAUUUCCCAUUAAGUUCAAGGGCACUUAACCUGGAGCUGACCGCAUGUGGAGUGGAGUAGAGCAGUCAGAGUUUCCUGACAUAGCUUGGCUAACACCUGUUUCCAGAUCUGAUUUGAUCUAUUUUCUCUAUUGAUUGAGGUCUCUGGGCUGAGAGGAAGGUCCAGCCAUCCCCUUUGUCACUUGAGAUUCAAGUCCUGGACCAUCAUUUGUUGUAGGGAUCCUGGGAGCCCAAACCUGGGGAUUCUCUCUCUUACUACUGCCUUAGCCGCUUCAGCUGCUGUUUCAAUUGUAGCGGGGAAUUCUUCUAUCCACUCAAAAAAUGUGUUUACUAGCACCAAGAGAUACCUGAAAUUGCCAGCUGCCCUCAGCAUGAGAUCAGUAUGUCAGUCUUCUCCAGGGUAUGUCCCCCUGAUCUGAAUGGUCCUUAUCUGGGGCUUUGGUGGAGAAGGGAGUCAGGCAUGUUUCAACAAUCCCACUGACUAUACCUUUCAUGCCAGGAGUUACCGUGACCCCGCUAACCAAUGAUAUAGGGCUUCCCUCCUGGAGUGAGUUCUUUGAUGAGCCUCCCUUAUACUUGACAAGCUGCAAUUGGGGAAAGAAGUAUCUCCUGUGGUCAUUAACUGGCCGUUGCUGGCCUCCUGGAUCUCUGUUGAAGUAGCUCAGUCUGGGAGGGCCAGGACGGGGGCCUGAAGGAAUUGCUGUUUCAAUUCUCAAAAGGCCCCUUUGAAUUCUGGUUUCCAUUUAGAAGGAUCAUCAUCCUUUCCAUUCAACAUUUCAAGUAGAGGCUUAGCUACUAGACUAGGGCUGGGGAUCCAGGUGCUGCCAUCCCCAGGAGACCCCCAAGAAGUCUUCUAAUUCUAGGAGGGGUGAGGCUACAUAUGCGUCUCCCGUCUCCUAAGGUGGGCUUCCCUGACCUUCUGUUGAGAAUGCUGCCAGAUGUGAGAGUUGGACUGUGAAGAAGGCUGAGCACUGAAGAAUUGAUGCUUUUGAACUGUGGUGUUGGAGAAGACUCUUGAGAGUCCCUUGGACUGCAAGGAGAUCCAACCAGUCCAUUCUGAAGGAGAUCAGCCCUGAGUGUUCUUUGGAAGGAAUGAUGCUAAAGCUGAAACUCCAGUACUUUGGCCACCUCAUGUGAAGAGUUGACUAAUUGGAAAAGACUCUGAUGCUGGGAGGGAUUGGGGGCAGGAGGAAAAGGGGACAACAGAAGAUGAGAUGGCUGGAUGGCAUCACUGACUCGAUGGAUGUGAGUCUGAGUGAACUCUGGGAGUUGGUGAUGGACAGGGAGGCCUGGUGUGCUGUGAUUCAUGGGGUCGCAAAGAGUCGGACACGACUGAGCGACUGAACUGAACUGAACCUUCAUUUUUACCGAGACUUUUUAGUUAAAAUAGGUGAAGCACUCUCUACUUGGUUUAUGUGACAUUUACCAGUGCUCAUUUAUUUAUGUGAAUUCAAAUUACCCUCUGGGGUCACUGCUUUUGGUGAAAAAAUUAUACUGUGUGCACCAAAAACAAACUCAAUUUUUUUUUUUGAGUUACUUGAAAAUUUUUAUUUGGGCCAAGAUUUAUAUCCUCCGACCAUCCUAAGUUUUUGUUUAUUGGGUAAUGUCUUUGUUUUGUCUUCUUUUUUUUUGUUUGUUUUUUAAAAGAUAGCUUUGCUAUAUCAGAUUCUUGAUUGACAGGUUUUUUUUUUUUCCUUUGGAUUAUGUUAUCCCAUUGCUUUUUGCCCUCUACUGUUGCUGAUGAGAAGUCAAUUGCUAAUCUUUAUUGAAUUUCUUACAAAUGGAAAGUCUUUUUUCUCUUGCCACCUCAAGAUCUUCACCUUGUAUUUGCCUUUCAGCCUUUUUUGUCAAACUGUCACAUGUCUAUCUGUGGAUUUCUUUGUGGAAUUUGUGGAGCUUUCUGAAUGUGUAGAUUAGUGUUUUCAAUAAAUUAGGAAUGAUUUCAACCAUUGUAUCUUCACAUAUGUUUUCUUUCUCCUUUUCUGAUAUUUCUCUUACAUGUAUCUUGAUGUACUUAAUGGCACUCCACAUUUCUUGAGGCUCUGUUCAUUUUUCUUCAUUCUUUUUUUCUUUGUUCUUUGGCUUGCAAAGUCUCUGUCAACUUCAGGUUUGUAAAUUGUUCUGCAAGAAUUUGGGCCUCUCUAGUUAAUUUUUCAUUUCAAUUGUACUUUUUAAGUCCAGAAUUUUUAUUUGGUUCUUUAAAAGUUUGUAUGUCUUUAUUGGUACGAGCUAUUUGAUGUAACAUUGUCAGCAUACUUUCCUUUAUUUUGUAAACCAUGGUUUCCACUAGUUAUUUGAACAUACUGUGUUUAUAACUACUUGAAGUCUCCAUUAACUGUUAAAUCCAACAUCUGGUCACUCUCACAGGCAAUUUGUGUUGUCGGCUUCCCCCACCCACCCCCCCACCCCCCCCCCCGAUGUGUAAGUCAUGUUUUUCUGUUUCUUUGUAUGUCUCAUACAUUUUGUUGGAAACUGGACAUUUUAGAUAGUUUAGGAUAGAAAUUCUGGGUUGUGGUCCCCGCUUCCAUUUACUUGAUUGCUUAAGUGAAAGUGAAGUGAAGUCACUCAGUCGUGUCCGACUCUUUGCGACCCCGUGGCCUGUAGCCCACCAGGCUCCUCCAUCCAUGGAAUUCUCCAGGCAAGAAUACUGGAGUGGGUUGCCAUUUCCUUCUCCAUUGCUUGUUUAGUGACUUUUAUUUCAGUGAAGUCUAUUUUACACAAACACAUGGAGUGUUAAACCUUUGAUGUUGCUUCUCAACCAAUGGUGUGCAGCCUUGAGUGUGCCCAGCUGCCCUGGAUGACAGUGCAUUGGCAGGGCUUCUUUUUGGCGGUCUUUUCCCCUGAUUGCACCUAGCUGUUAAGCUCCACAACUUGUAGGAUAAUUGCUCUAUUGUUUUCAACAAUGCUCUAAGGCAUCGGUUGUUCCAGAGACUAAACCAAAUAGUUCCUGAGAUCAGUGUUUGAUAUUUGUUAUUAUCCUAGGAGAGCUACUCCCAGCGCCCCGCUCCCACCCCAAGUUCUCUACAGCAAACUAAGAGUCUUCAGUUUAGCCUCUGUCUUCAACAAAUCUACCAAUAUCCUCUUAUUUCUCACCACAAUCUCCAGUUUUUGAAUGCAUCAUUACGCGCGAACUUCUCCAUGUUCUUUGGCAAACAAAGUCAGUUUCUCUGGGAAGAGGCUAGGAGCUAUCUGUUUAUAGCCUGCUUCCUCCUCCAGAAAAAUCUCUGAGCCAGGGUUCUGGAACUGGGAAGUGGUAUAUGGACAGUGA